rnacentral:rRNA from 1 species
CAGGCCUAACACAUGCAAGUCGAACGGUAACGACUUAAUUACCUUCGGGUAAUGAAGGGCGACGAGUGGCGGACGGGUGAGUAACGCAUAGGAAUCUGCCCAGUAGUGGGGGACAACUCCGGGAAACCGGAGCUAAUACCGCAUACGCCCUACGGGGGAAAGCGGGGGAUCUUCGGACCUCGCGCUAUUGGAUGAGCCUAUGUCUGAUUAGCUUGUUGGUAGGGUAACGGCCUACCAAGGCAACGAUCAGUAGCUGGUCUGAGAGGAUGAUCAGCCACACUGCGACUGAGACACGGCGCAGACUCCUACGGGAGGCAGCAGUGGGGAAUAUUGCACAAUGGGCGCAAGCCUGAUGCAGCAAUGCCGCGUGUGUGAAGAAGGCCUGCGGGUUGUAAAGCACUUUCAGUAGCGAAGAAAAGCCCGGGGUUAAUAGCCUCGAGUCUUGACGUUAGCUACACAAGAAGCACCGGCUAACUCCGUGCCAGCAGCCGCGGUAAUACGGAGGGUGCGAGCGUUAAUCGGAAUUACUGGGCGUAAAGCGCGCGUAGGCGGUUUGGUA